AACGCAAGUUGCGCCCCAAGCCUUCUGGCCGAGGGCACGUCUGCCUGGGUGUCACAAAUCGUCGUCCCCCCAUCCUCUCGAGGAUAUGGGACGGAAGCUGAUCUCCCGUGUGUUACCGCACGCGGUUGGCCAAAAUCCGAGCUAAGAACGUCAGGAGCGUCUUGACAUGCGGUGGUGAAUUUAAUUCUCGUCAUAUAGUCAGACGUUCCGGUCCAAAAGCUCUUGAUGACCCAAAGUCCUCAACGCGACCCCAGGUCAGGCGGGAUCACCCGCUGAGUUUAA
rnacentral:misc_RNA from 1 species